AGUCCCAUAGUGUAGUGGUCAAUCAUUCCGGCCUUUGGAGCCGGUGACAGCGGUUCGAAUCCGCUUGGGACUA
rnacentral:tRNA from 1 species